rnacentral:lncRNA from 1 species
AUGAAUGUAUACCGUAUAUUGCUAUGACUUCUACAUGGGCUUUUCUAUCAUUAUCAUUUUCUGUAAAAUCUUUAUUUUCUUUAUUCUCAUUGAAAAACCUUGUUGUUUUUAUAUUUUUUAUAUAAAUUUUAGGUACGGCAUGCCGUACCAACGAACAUUAUUGGUACGGCGAGUGCCGUACCUGCCGUACCGGCUGCUACGCCCCUGCAUAA